UCCCAGCACUCCUGAGUCCUGCCCCAGACCUCGCCGCCGGCGUCCAUGUCGUCGUUUCUCCCCCGUCUCCCCUCCCCUCCCCCGACACGGCGGAGGCGGCGGCGGAGUGCGAGACGGAGCGAGGCGAGUGUCCUCUCCACUCACCCACUCAGCUCUUGCGGCUCGCCUUUCCCCUCCCCUCCCCUCCCCCGCGAGCCCGACGACCGGCUGAAAAUUCGAAAUGCGCUCGUCUCGGUCGGUCGGACCGCCGGACCGCGUGACCGGUUCGGAGCUACGUUGGGGCCAGGGCUACUCCAGUUUUUCCCUUCAAUAAUUAUAUAUAUAGGAAUUGCCUUUAUUUAUGCACAUAUAUUUCUGUGAUCCCAAAACUCUACCCAGUUGAAGAAUAAUGCAGCAACCGGUGGUCCAAGAUUGUAAUAUGCUGAGAAGUCUCUGAUGUUAAAAUUUUGCCUCCAUCCUGGUGCAUAAAC